rnacentral:rRNA from 1 species
AUUGAACGCUGGCGGCAGGCCUAACACAUGCAAGUCGAGCGAGCGGCGGACGGGUGAGUAAUGUCUGGGAAACUGCCCGAUGGAGGGGGAUAACUACUGGAAACGGUAGCUAAUACCGCAUACCAUCAGAUGUGCCCAGAUGUGAUUAGCUAGUAGGUGGGGUAACGGCUCACCAAGGCGACGAUCCCUAGCUGGUUUGAGAGGAUGACCAGCCACACUGGAACUGAGACACGGCCCAGACUCCUACGGGAGGCAGCAGUGGGGAAUAUUGGACAAUGGGCGAAAGUCUGAUGCAGCCAUGCCGCGUGUGUGAAGAAGGCCUUCGGGUUGUAAAGCACUUUCAGCAGGGAGGCGGUACCCGCAGAAGAAGCACCGGCUAACUCCGUGCCAGCAGCCGCGGUAAUUC